AAACAUCGCCUCCUGCAGUAUAUAGGAGGUCCAGCCUGCCCAGUGACCAAGUUAAACGGCCGCGGUACCCUAACCGUGCGAAGGUAGCGCAAUCACUUGUUCUUUAAAUGAGGACUAGUAUGAAUGGCAUCACGAGGGUUACACUGUCUCCCACCUCUAAUCAGUGAAACUGAUCUCCCCGUGAAGAAGCGGGGAUAAAACUAUAAGACGAGAAGACCCCAUGGAACUUCAAACCCGGCAUCAACCAUUAACAUUAAUACCACAUUAAAUAAAUGGACCUGACUGCUGGUUUUAGGUUGGGGUGACCGCGGAGCAUAACAAAACCUCCAUGAUGAACGACCUCCUCUCUAAUCCGAGAGCCACCACUCAAAGAAUCAAAAAAUUGACAUUUAUUGACCCAAACUAUUUUGAUCAACGAACCAAGUUACCCUGGGGAUAACAGCGCAAUCCAUUUCAAGAGCCCCUAUCGACAAAUGGGUUUACGACCUCGAUGUUGGAUCAGGGUAUCCUAGUGGUGCAGCCGCUACUAAAGGUUCGUUUGUUCAACGAUUAAAACCCUACGUGAUCUGA
rnacentral:rRNA from 1 species